GUCAGGAUGGCCGAGCAGUCAAAGCAACAGAUUCAAGGUAACAACCCUUUCUGAAUAUGGGACUUCUGGUCUCCAAAUGGAGGCGUGGGUUCAAAUCCCACUUCUGACA
rnacentral:tRNA from 1 species